rnacentral:lncRNA from 1 species
UGUGUUUACAGAUUUGUCCAAUCUGGCUCACUGUCUCUCCGGAAUUAUAAGUGUGCAGUCUGGUUCAACCUUACUCUUGUGAUUACAGAUUCAUCCACUCAGCUUCUCCGUCUCCCUGGGAUUACAAAUGUUUCCACUCGGAAUCAACAUCUCUCCAGGGAUUGCAAAUAUGUCCACUCUGCUUCAUUGUCUCCCUAGGAUUGCAGAGGUAUUCACUCUGGCUGACUCUCUCUCUCCUGGGAUUACAGAUGUGUCCACUCUGGCUCUCUGGCUCUCUUGGAUUACAGAUUUGUCCACUUUGAAUCACCUCCCUCCUGGGAUUACAGCUGUUUCCACUCUGGCUCACCAUCUCUCCUGCAACCUCAUGUGUGUCAACUCUGGCUCACUUCCUCCCUGGGAUUACACAUGUGUCCACUCUGGCCUUUGUGGAAAGUUAGGGGUCCAGACCUCCCAGACACAGCUGAAGCUUCUAGGAGCUUCAUGCUGUGUGACACCCUGCACUGAGCCCAUUUUGGUGAGCAGAGUUAAGAGGACCAGGUGUUGGUCACAGCUCCACACAGCUCCCAGAGUCCCAUGAUCACUGUGGCUUAGCAGAAAGAUGUGCUGAGGUCGGUAACCUGCACGGACUUCAUAGUUCCAGACCCAGCCUAGGGCUUUGGCAUCCAGCACUCAAAAGUCUAUGCUAUGCUCCACUAUGUUCAUAGCAGCCUUAUUU